GCGCGAAUUGCUAAGCGCAUAUCAGGAUAAUCCCUCUUCUUUGGACUUCAUGCAUAAUGCAUCAACCUAAUCCUCAAGAAUAGGUGGCAGGUGAUUAUAAUUACUCAGGAGGAGGAGGUCGCUGGCGGAGUGACAUAAUGCGGCGGUGAUCCUGUGUGAAAGCUGAAGUCAAGACUUUUAUCAACGCCCCGUGGGAUGCUCGCUCUGAUCUCCAAACCCAGAGACCCAUCUCCAAACGCCAAUGCCCAAUCCCCAGGUGUCAGUAAAUAAACCCCAGAGCUCACUGUGCCUACUUUUCACAGGUAGAUGCUAAAAACAUUACUAUUAUUGAUAGACUGACCAGAGGAAAAAGGUACGCUUAGUAGCUUUUUAGCUUAUGCUAUAUCAAGGUUUUUUUUUCAUUACUUUAUACUAACAACUUAUUAACACAAUGAAAAUGUUUCAAAUCUGUUGAUUAACUGCUGCCCAUCACAUAUAUACUGCUGACCUCUAAAUGUAUAUCUUUGGAUUUAAUACAAAAUGAUUUUAUUUGCACAUUGUUGGUGGUUAGCACUACAGAUGCGAUUAUCUAAACAUGACAUAUUGAGAACUACAAACAGUAAUGCCCUGUAAAUGCCCAGCUUUUGAAUUUAAAAUACAUAAUUGAACGAUUCACGUUAUAUGAUUUGUAUAAUCAGUUAAAGAAUACAUUAUAAAGAAUAUAAAAGUUUUACACUUUAUUUCAGCUCUGUUUGCUAAGAGAAUAGGUGGAGACAGAUUAUUACAGUGAGUCAAAUGAAUCAUUAUUCACUCAUACAAUCACGAAAUGUCUUUUUUCACUAAUUCAUUUGGUUAUAAAGCAAGCCAUUGCCUUCAUUAUUGAGUCACUGAAUUGCUCACUAAACCAUUUUGUUUAAAAAUGCGAAUUAAUUCAGAAACGGAACUCAACUGCCUGCAUUUUCUGCUUUGACUUUUUAAUUUUUUACAUUGGAUGAAAAAAAAUACACAGCAUUGCCAGUAACAGGUAAUAUUAAAUAGCUUUUAUUUUAGACACAGUAUUUUCUUGUUUACUGUUGUAUCCACCAUGUUUUACACAGCCAUUUGUAUGUUGUAUCUGGUGUCAUCCACUUUCAGUUAUUAUAGCUGUACAAAAGCAGUCUGUUAUGCUGCUUCAUUAUUAAUCACCGUAUUAACACACAGCAUAAACACUCUGUUUUUUAAUAAUCAAAAAAUACCAAGUGAACUUUUCUAGGGUUAUUUUUUAGGAAAUGUGGUCGUGAAGGUUACAUAAGUGGA